rnacentral:rRNA from 1 species
GAUGAACGCUGGCGGCGUGCCUAACACAUGCAAGUCGAGCGGACAGGCCCUGAUUUUGUUCGGUGCUCGUGUGGCGAACAGGUGAGUGACACGUGUGUAUCCUCUACUUGUCUUUGUGAUAUAUUUACGGAACAGCGGAUCAUAUCCGAUAGGAUCUCCUGAUCCAUGGGGGGCGUUAGUAAGAUUCGGUGUUUGUGGCGGUUAUAGAUGGAUCUGCGCCUUAUCAGCUUGUUGGUGCGUUAGCGGCUUACCAAGGCUAUGACGGGUAGGCGGCUUGAGAGGGUGACCGGCCACAUUGGGACUGAGAUACGGCCCAGACUCCUACGGGAGGCAGCAGUGGGGAAUAUUGCACAAUGGGCGGAAGCCUGAUGCAGCAACGCCGCGUGCGGGAUGACGGCCUUCGGGGUGUAAACCGCUUUCGCCUGUGACGAAGCGUUAGUGACGGUAAUGGGUAAAGAAGCACCGGCUAACUACGUG